UACAGAGGGUGCUAGCGUUGUUCGGAAUCAUUGGGCGUAAAGGGCGUGUAGGCGGUUUGUUAAGUCAUGUGUGAAAUCCCUCGGCUCAACCGGGGAAGGACGCAUGAAACUGGCAAGCUAGAGUACCAAAGAGGGGGUGGAAUUCCGGUGUAGCGGUGAAAUGCGUAGAUAUCGGGAGGAACACCUGUGGCGAAGGCGGCCCCCUGGUUGGAUACUGACGCUGAUACGCGAAAGCGUGGGGAGCAACAGG
rnacentral:rRNA from 1 species